rnacentral:rRNA from 1 species
GGAAUAUUGCACAAUGGGCGCAAGCCUGAUGCAGCCAUGCCGCGUGUAUGAAGAAGGCCUUCGGGUUGUAAAGUACUUUCAGCGGGGAGGAAGGCGAUGCGGUUAAUAACCGCGUCGAUUGACGUUACCCGCAGAAGAAGCACCGGCUAACUCCGUGCCAGCAGCCGCGGUAAUACGGAGGGUGCAAGCGUUAAUCGGAAUUACUGGGCGUAAAGCGCACGCAGGCGGUCUGUUAAGUCAGAUGUGAAAUCCCCGGGCUUAACCUGGGAACUGCAUUUGAAACUGGCAGGCUUGAGUCUUGUAGAGGGGGGUAGAAUUCCAGGUGUAGCGGUGAAAUGCGUAGAGAUCUGGAGGAAUACCGGUGGCGAAGGCGGCCCCCUGGACAAAGACUGACGCUCAGGUGCGAAAGCGUGGGGAGCAAACAGGAUUAGAUACCCCAG